GACGAACGCUGGCGGCGUGCUUAACACAUGCAAGUCGAACGGAAAGGCCCUGCUUUUGUGGGGUGCUCGAGUGGCGAACGGGUGAGUAACACGUGAGUAACCUGCCCUUGACUUUGGGAUAACUUCAGGAAACUGGGGCUAAUACCGGAUAGGAGCUCCUGCUGCAUGGUGGGGGUUGGAAAGUUUCGGCGGUUGGGGAUGGACUCGCGGCUUAUCAGCUUGUUGGUGGGGUAGUGGCUUACCAAGGCUUUGACGGGUAGCCGGCCUGAGAGGGUGACCGGCCACAUUGGGACUGAGAUACGGCCCAGACUGCUACGGGAGGCAGCAGUGGGGAAUAUUGCACAAUGGGCGGAAGCCUGAGGCAGCAACGCCGCGUGCGGGAUGACGGCCUUCGGGUUGUAAACCGCUUUCGCCUGUGACGAAGCGGGAGUGACGGUAAUGGGUAAAGAAGCACCGGCUAACUACGUG
rnacentral:rRNA from 1 species